rnacentral:rRNA from 1 species
CCUACGGGGCGCAGCAGUGGGGAAUAUUGCACAAUGGGGGAAACCCUGAUGCAGCGACGCCGCGUGAGCGAUGAAGUAUUUCGGUAUGUAAAGCUCUAUCAGCAGGGAAGAAGAUGACGGUACCUGACUAAGAAGCCCCGGCUAACUACGUGCCAGCAGCCGCGGUAAUACGUAGGGGGCAAGCGUUAUCCGGAUUUACUGGGUGUAAAGGGAGCGUAGACGGCUAUGCAAGUCUGGAGUGAAAGGCGGGGGCCCAACCCCCGGACUGCUCUGGAAACUGUAGAGCUAGAGUGCAGGGGAGGUAA